rnacentral:rRNA from 1 species
CUACUCGGGUUUCUAAUCCUGUUUGCUCCCCACGCUUUCGCACCUCAGCGUCAGUGUCGAGCCAGUGAGCCGCCUUCGCCACUGGUGUUCCUCCGAAUAUCUACGAAUUUCACCUCUACACUCGGAAUUCCACUCACCUCUCUCGAACUCUAGGCUGGGAGUUUUGAAGGCCAUUCCGGGGUUGAGCCCCGGGAUUUCACCCCCAACUUUCCAGCCCGCCUACGCGCGCUUUACGCCCAGUCAUUCCGAACAACGCUAACCCCCUCCGUAUUACCGCGGCGGCUGGCAC